GAAAUGCGAUACGUAGUGUGAAUUGCAGAACCGUGAAUCAUCGAAUCUUUGAACGCAUAUUGCGCCUUUGGGUAUCCCUGGAGGCAUGCCUGUUUGAGAAUCAUUUAACUCAUCACCCCAAGGUUGGGAGUAAUCUUAACCUCGGAGUGGAUUUGGGCCUUUGCAGUCUGACUGCAUGGCCUUGAAUGCAUUGACCCGGCUAUGGUAUUAUUUUACUAAAGUCAAAGUGUUAUCAAUUAUGGCUAACGCUAUAUAUUUCACUGCGCCUUUGGUAAUCCAAGUAAUAUUAUGCGUUGGGCUCAACUAAACUAUUCUUACGAGUAGACCCUUCUUGGCUGGAAGCAGUUUGCUUCUCGUCUUGAUAUCUUGGUCUCAAAUCAGGCAAGAGUACCCGCUGAAC
rnacentral:misc_RNA from 1 species